CUGCCGCGGACAUGAUGGGCCCGGGGCGCAGCGCGCGCGCGGCGCCCGAUAGGUGGCAGCCGAGAGCGAGGCCCCGGGGCUCCAGAGGCGCCGCCGAGCCCCCUAGGCUGUCAGUCUAGGAGACAGAGGAGUCUAGGACCACGUGCGUAACGCGAGCGUGGGAGUGUGCGGUGCUCGUGUUGGAGAAGGGAGGAAUGGAAAUAACCCCGACAGCGCCAGGCUUGGCGGUGGUCAGGGACAGAUGACUGCAGCCCUGCGCUGCUCGCCGGCUCUUCUGCCGUUUAGCGCAAUAGAGCCCUUGCUGCGGUCUCCCUACCUACCCUAAAGGAUCCUGGAAGAGGGAGUGGUUCGUCCGAGCUGUAGAGAGGGAGCUACUUUUAUUUUUAAGAAUUACGUUUGUAUAAGUACGAUCGGGCAGUUCAAGGGAGGGCGAACGACUUGCAGGAAAAAAAAAAUGUGAAUGCAUUUGGUAUGAGCUAAAAGCUGGAAAAGCCCCAAAUAGAGGCAGUAUGGAUAGAAAGCAAGUUUGUUGAAGAGUCACCUGCUAAACUUCACUAGCGUCGUCUCUACAAGUGAUCUGUGCUGUCUGGGCCUGCCUUGCAGUUGAACCUGGAUUUGAAACUGACAACUAUGAACGAAUAGGAAAAUGUUGCAGCAGGAGCUGCCACGUCUGAAGAAAAUUCAAAGAAAGGUCUAUUCGGGCAGUGGUGGCUUUUCAUGGAUUUACUGAACCAACGAAGGACCCACUUCCAAGAGGGCUGUUAUGCUUUCCAUGGAUUUAUAAGGCAGAUACAACCUGUGACGGGAUGUCAGCUAGCAGAAUAAGUGAAUUGACGGCCAUUAGAUGAAAGACAAAUGGUGAUACAUAAGUGCAAGACAAAGAAAUGAGAAGGUUGAAUUGAAUCAGGCAAGUACAAUUAUGAAUUUAUGGAUUUCUAAGAUGUAACAUAUAUAUAUAUGUGUGUGUGCAGG
rnacentral:lncRNA from 1 species